CACGUAGGGCGCGAGCGUUGUCCGGAAUUACUGGGCGUAAAGGGCGCGUAGGCGGCCUGUUAAGUCGAACGUGAAAUCCCCGGGCUCAACCCGGGAACUACGUCCGAUACUGGCAGGCUUGAAUCCGGGAGAGGGAUGCGGAAUUCCAGGUGUAGCGGUGAAAUGCGUAGAUAUCUGGAGGAACACCGGUGGCGAAGGCGGCAUCCUGGACCGGCAUUGACGCUGAGGCGCGAAAGCCAGGGGAGCAAACGGG
rnacentral:rRNA from 1 species